UAUAUGAUUAUGAUUCACUUGGUAAGUAUGAACUCGCAAGAUGACAUUUCCCUCGACAGCGUGAGUUGUUAUCUUCCAAGGACAACCAUCAACCGAACACUUGACAGACAUAUGCGUAGGGGAAUUUUUCGUGUACUUGUAUUCAAACCUUCCACCUAAUGACAUCUGGUAAAUUGCAUUGCGAAACUCCUCGGCAUUUUUAAAUGUAUGUCCCGACCCUAAUAUUGCC
rnacentral:lncRNA from 1 species